GCCUACGGGGGGGCAGCAGUGGGGAAUAUUGCACAAUGGGGGAAACCCUGAUGCAGCGACGCCGCGUGAGGGAAGAAGGUUUUCGGAUUGUAAACCUCUGUCUUUGGUGACGAAAGAUGACGGUAGCCAAAGAGGAAGCUACGGCUAACUACGUGCCAGCAGCCGCGGUAAUACGUAGGUGGCAAGCGUUGUCCGGAAUUAUUGGGUGUAAAGGGAGCGUAGGCGGGAAGACAAGUUGAAUGUUUAAACUAUCGGCUCAACCGAUAAUCGCGUUCAAAACUGUUUUUCUUGAGUGAAGUAGAGGC
rnacentral:rRNA from 1 species